rnacentral:lncRNA from 1 species
ACUUCAUUUGGAGGAGGGGUCCUCCAAGGAUUUCCCUUACUUUCUUAUGAGCUUAGUUAUGCGUUUCUACCAAUUGUUUCUUUAUGUUCUUUUGCAUUUCAGAUGACCUGGCUUACAGUAGUACUGAAUCUGGAACUCAUCAGACCUGCUGUUUUUCAUGCCCUGCACAGCAACCCAGGGGACUGACUUGCCCAAGGUCCUCCUGUAAAUGGAAUCGCUAGAAGCAGACCCUGAAUCCCUCACCUCUUCAUGUGAUUCUGUAGCUGAGCCCUCCAGGUCAAACACCUGCAUAUGCUCUUGGCCUUCAUGUCUGCAUUUCCCUGGAGGAGGGAAACAAGCCUGCCUUCUCCCUUCCAGACUCCAAGGUGAGAGGGAACUCAAGCGAGACCCAGAGAGACGGUAUUCUUUCUACUUCUGCUGAGCAUUCUGAGCAUGUUGUUUAAAGGGUCAAGAACUUGAACUUAGACAGAGAAAACGAAUUAAAAUAUGUGAUUAUGUUAGUCUCAAACUCCUAGUUAGCGCCCCCUGCCCAACCUUUCCCCUUUGGUAACCACAAGUUUGUUUUCUAUGUCAAAGGUCA